UACAGAGGAGCCAAGCGUUGUCCGGAUUGACUGGGCGUAAAGCGCACGCAGGCGUCUGGCGCGUGGGGUGUGAAAUCUGGCCGCUUAACGGCCAGGCGCCAUCCCAUACGGCUAGACUGGAGGGCUGCAGAGGUCGAUGGAAUUGCCGGUGUAGUGGUGAAAUGCGUAGAGAUCGGCAGGAACACCCAGGGGAAACCAGUCG
rnacentral:rRNA from 1 species